CGGUCACUGUGGCGUGCGAGAGGCGCUUGCAUCCCUGGGACCGUAUCAUCUCUCUCGGGAGCUGGCUCUGUACCGGACCCUGGUCCGGAAUACCUGGCGCCCACCUACUUGUUAGGGUCUGAGAGGAUGAGCAUUCCUUCCGGCGCAUAUGGUACCGCC
rnacentral:other from 1 species